GCAAACGCUCCCUAUGUGUUCCCUUUCUGCACAUGUGAUGGGACAGUGAAUGGCUUUCUUUCUCCGUCUCUCCAGCAGCACAUAGAUAUUCAGCUGCCUCUCUGAGUGGGUGUCUUGGUCAAGAUCAACAUUCCUGCUGGGGUUCAAGGAUAUCUCCCGUGUUUGUGUCCCACAGCUCUGCUGCAUGGCCGCUAUUGUUUUCCCUGCGCUCAGCCUCGACCUUCCAGCCGCAGGAACAAAUCCAAGACUCUUCUGGACACGAGGGCACAAGCAGUGUGGUAUUUUGGAGUCAAGAAAUGGGAAAAGCAGUCUGGCUAGAAGAGCUGGAGAAUGGACAUUUCACUUACUUAUAAAACCUCAAAGAUCCCUCAGGGAGCUGCUGUGUCGUCCAUCGUUCCAUCAAGCAGCAGCCUUUGGUGUUGAAAACUUAAAAACUUAAGCCAAUGCAGAAGUCUGAAAAAUUGCAUUUCCACUUGAGGCCGUCUGCAGAGGCUAAAUAAUCCUCAUGAGGUCCCAUAUUGAAAUGUCACUUUACAGC